GUACUAAAAUAGGGGUAUGAGGGAUUGUGAAAACCGGCCUUGUGAUGAUUUAUUGCAAUGCAGGCUCAAGGAGUGCUCUCUUUGCGGCCACUGAUCCUCAGGUUCCGGAGUUCUGUCAAUUGUUGAAACCAUACGACUUUCCUGUUUGUGCUUUCGUUUCUCAAGAUUGCAAUCCAACAAAUCCUUCCGAAGAAGCUCAUGAUGUUGACACUUUCAAGUGUGGGAAAAAACAUUCGAGAUGAUUGGCCUUCCUUUUGAUGUUGUGGAGAGGCUUACAGGAGGGGAAGAAUUUGCAUGCAGAUAUGGGCCUCACAGCACCAAUAUCUAUAUGCAAAUAAAGGAAUUUUGGAGCACCAACAUUGAUCUUCAUCUCCACCACAGACACUAUGACGUGAUUAAUCCUAUAAUGUGCAUCUCCCCUGUCCAAAAUAGAAGCUGGCAGCUGAGAUGCAACCAAAGGAUUACACACAGAGGUAUUUAGUGAGCCAAUUUGCUUUCUGUUGUUAAUGAUUAGUAUUGGGAGUUUGGGAUUACUGAGUAGUUUUAGAUCUUCCUCUAGUUUUGGUGUAUUGAUCCCAAUUCUUAUGCAACCAUGAAAUUUAAAAUAAGAGUUGGGGAAGAACUGGAUUAGAUUGUCUUAUGAAUUCUGAAUGUGUUUUCUGAUAGAUGCUGAAGAUAUAAUGUCCAUAUAUGCAUUUGUGUAUCUUAUCUUCUUCUGAUUUGUUACCUUGGUUGGUGUUAGAUAUUAGCUUGGUAUCUUAUCUUCUUCUGAUUUGUGCUAGAUAUUAGCUUGGUUGCUUCUUUAUUACCUUGUUUUUUCCCUAGUGUCAUCAGAUUAGCCAUGCAUUCAAUGUGAUGCAAUUCUUAUCAGAUUACCAAAGAUUCUGGUGACAUUUUAACAUGUUUGUCAUGUUAGAGUGUAGAAAUUGUAGUGUUGGCUUGGAAGAUAUAGUUUUGAUGGAUUACUGAUUAUAUAGGCUGUUAACCGGUUUGGUUUGAGAUUCCCUCUCUAUGAGUAGAGCUGUCUCUGCUUAAUAUUUUGUUGUGUGCGAUAUUCUCUUGCUGGACCUUUGCUGUUGAUCAUUUACAGAUGAGCGAUUUUGUAGGUAAGAGCAUAUAGGUGAUUCGGUUGUGAAGUAACUGAUCCUUUCUUUGCGAAUAUAUUCAUGAGUAUUUUGAGAAAGGAUCAGUGUUUUGUAGGCAAAUUCUAAUUCACACAAACCAAAAAUCCAUUUGGAUUUAACUCAUUUACAAGGAUUUCGGUCUUCCUCAAUUUACAAUAAAAGUGGGGAGAAACCGCCUCCUAAACUCUAAGUCAGAUAUACAUUUUUCUUCCUGUUGCAUAGUUAUAUUCUGUAGACACCAGGAUUUUAUCCCCAUUAAUAUGCCUUCUGACCUUCUGUAAACCAUUAUAUACUACAUGGCAAUCUUGUAUUCUCCUUUCAACAAUGUGACAAUUGAAACAAACAAUACUUAAAUUGUGGAGAAACUCAUACCCAAAUCAUACCAUACAAAAGUUUCUAGUAGUGAUCUUGUAGCUUAUGUUUUUAGCAGGUUAUCAUGCCCUCGAAAGCACUCCUUUUGGUUUUCUUCAUAGCAAUUUGUUGCUCCUCGAUCUAUGCCUUUAAAUGUCAUUUCAUUUGCUUCAGUUAUAUGGAGUAGCCUGAAUAUUGUUUUGUAAUUCUUGGUGUAUUGUUUCAUCUUCAUCUUCUACAUCAUUUCUCUGUAAAUCACAGCAUCAAUGCAUCAUAUUAGAGCAAUUGAAGUAAAAUCAGGAGCAACUGAAUGAAGUGGCUCCUCAGAUAAUUAGAUAUAAAUUUUACCGAGUCUUAAAAGAGAAGGACUGUAAUGAUUCACCCAAAAUGCAGUUUGACUGAUAUGGUGUGAAGUUAAUCAAAGAGGAAUUGCUGAUGCAAGUCUGGUGUUGACUGAGGAGUUGACUUUCGGAAAUAGAUGUGGAAGCAGAGAGUAUGAUAUGUAGAGAAAUCAUUGUGAGGUCUAUCUGAGUGUGAUAGGUAUGAAUUUGAGUAGUGGCAUGAGAAUGUGCAGGUUACAAGCUAGCUAAUGCAUUGGUCUGCAGGUGUUGACCAUGUCGUUGACUUUAUGAUAUAGGUGAAGAUGGAGCAUUAGCCAAAGUACUGAAGGUGGAGGGCUUCAUAUAUGAUAUGUCUGAGGGUGAAUUUAGAUCAGUAGCUAAUUGAUGGCAGAGGGACUGAGGGACACUAUCGGUAGCAGAUAGUAUGUCAUUUUGCUGAUGUUGACCAAGAUGUUGACACUAUUUUUUUUUUGAAAGGAGAUGUUGACACUAUUGGUAGCAGAUAGUGUGUCAUUUUGCUGAUGUUGGCUUUCAUAAGUGAAUGAAGAAUAAGUAAUUGCUGAAUUGAUUGUUGCAGACUCACAAUGAACAUUUGCUAACUGCGUAUGAAUUCACCUUUGCUUAUUAUGUUGUGAAAGAGCUUCUUGAGUUGAUUUGUCAGCAUAAAUGAACCUUACAAUUUUGUCUUGCAAAUGGAAAUUUUUAUUCGGUAUGUUGAAAGUUGAAACGAACCAACAGAUUGAGGCAGUUAGAUUUAUCUGAACCUUAAAGUUGACUGACCAGUUCCCCCCUUGGCCACUUUUGAAAAAGCAUAUAGAGGACGUAAGUAAGUGUUCCUGUGAAACUUGGGGCAAACUAUCACUUAUUGAAAGGUAUUUUUGAUACACAUGUUCACUGUUGAUUGCAGUUGUCUUGGCUAUUAUUUGAUCAGGUUAGAAAGCUUAAGUGGAUGAAACCAUAUUGUGACAAUUUUGCGAGGGAGUUUACCAAUUCCUGCAUUGAUGUCGAGUCAAUCCACUGCUCUUUUGUUAUUUUUCGUUUGUUCUAGUGUCUUGAUCUUAGUUGUUUUAAUUAAAGUACAAUUUUUGUGCAUUGGUUUGCCUUUAUAUUCGUUCUCCUCUUAAUUUAUUUUGCCCCAAAAGAAUCUUUUUGUUUUUAGGUUUCUUGCUAAUCAAUGUGAAGCUGACAGAACUUUUGCUCCUGAAUCAUUACUAAGCAGGAUCUGAGUUUUUGCAAUUUUUCUUUCAGAAUUUAAAAAUUAAGAUGAUCCUGAAUAACUAUUCUCUACUGAUUCAUGCUCUCUGCAGAGUUGUACGGGUGUACUUAUCAAUUUCUUAGUGUGUUUAAGUCCAUAUGCACACAUAUGUCAGAAGCAUUGAUGCUCUUAGGCCUAAGUAUAUCUCAUUUUUAUGUUAUUGAUGACUCGACCCAUAUAUGUCAAAGUGAAAAGCUCUGAAAAAGUUUAUUAUGUCCAUGCCUUGUAGGAGCUUCUCUUUAGAGGAAAAUAGAAGGAGAAAGACAGAGAAAAAAGAGAAUAGAGUAGCAUUGAUUUCAUUUGCUAUUAGGGCCUUAUGCUUCUGCAUUUUAGUGUGCAGCAUUGAGUUAUCAUUUACCUUUUUACUUAUUUCUUUUUAAAGAAGCUGUUUCAAGCAAUGAUCUUUGAACAUAUUAGCAAGUUCUGAUCCCACACCUAACAACUUGUGCAUAAUUUUGUUAAUAACUUUCCAUAUGUUAAAUUCAAUAUUGUUCACUCACUAACCAGUCCACUGCGUGUUCUGAGUUUCCUAUCGCAUAUGCAUAGGGAGCAGCAGGUUUUCUUCCCCUGUCAAAAUCGAUGAACCAGAAUCUCUCCUGCGCAAAAAUGCAGCAAGUUUUUCAUCUCCAAGUAAGUGCCAUUGGCCCACUACAGAUGCUAGGAGUUUGCAGGGUUUCCUUAAGAAGUUGAGUUGGAAUCUUGUAAGCAAUGUCUUUGUUGCUCUUAGAAUGCAGUGGACCUAGCACAACUUCUGUGAAUUUGAUGCAAACAUCUUUCUCUCAAUACCAAAAGGAAAGAAUGUUUUUGGUGCAACUAUGAUGAAAGAAGCUUCCCUAUUAAAGUUAAUGAGAGUCUUACCCUAAGCUGAUACUCAUGUUAAAGAAGAUGCGACAAAGCUAACGGAGAGUCAAUGCUGAAAAUUCAUAGGAGAUUUUGUGUUUUUUGUUUUUUUUU